rnacentral:lncRNA from 10 species
AUCACACCAAAUAGCUUGCAGUUUUUAGACUCUAAGACUGUGUUCAGCUUCUUUCCCUUUUCCUAGGCUGCAGGGAAGCUUUUAAAUUCAUUGAUUACCUGAAUAAUAACCACUUAUCCUUCGUGGAUCAGAUACAGUGUUAUCUCCCAUAUAGAGCAUUUUCUGAUCACCCUCCAGCAGCAAAAAUGGAUCCCUUCCUCAUUUCUAUCCCAAAUGUGCUUUUGAGAUCUGAUAUUCCCUCAGAACACCUAAUAUACUUUGAUGCAACUACUUGACUAUUGAGAAGGUCUCCCUCAUUUCAAAGCAAACAUUUGGAUCAAAGAGACAUCAUUUUAUUCAUCUCUACAUCCUCACUGGAACCUGCCAUAUAGUAGACACCAUACAUUCAUACAUACGUACAUUCACCAACUCAUUCAUCUUCAUCCAUCCAUCCAUCUACCCAUCCAUCCAUUCAUCUAUCUACUCACUAAUCCAUCUACCUACUCACCCAUCCAACCAUCCAUCUACUCUUUCAUCCAUCUACCUACCCACUUGUCCAUUUAACCAUCUACUCAUCCAUCUACCCACCCACCUGUCCAUCCAUCUACCAUUUUAUUCAUUUACCUACCCAUCCGUCCAUCCAUCCAUCUACUCAUCCAUCUACCCAUCCACCUGUCCAUCUACCCACUCACUCAUCCGUCUACUCACCCACCUGUUUAUCCAUCCAUCUACCCACCCACCUAUCCAUCCAACAAAUAUUUCUGAAUGUCCUCAAUGUCCCAGCCAUUUCUCCAGACUCUUUGGAUAUAGAGAAGAACAAGAAAGAAGAGGCCUCUGCUCUCACUAGCCCUACAUUCUAGUGUCUGUUGCAGGGUCAGUGAGGGGUGGGUAGGGGGUCACAGACUACGGAAAUAAACAAAGUAGGUGAGUGAGAAGUACUGUAAAGUAAAUUAACAGAGCAAUAUCCCAGAGGGUACUACUUUAAAAGGAAUGGUCAGGUCACCUUACAAGAAGGUGGCCUUUGUGAUGAGUCCCAAAUGAUAAGAAAGGAAGCAGCCAAACAAAGAGAGACAGAAAGUCCUGAUGUGGGAAUGAGCUUUGUGUGUUUGAGGAACAGAAAAGAACAGAGUAAGCAGAGGAGAGGACAGAGAUGAAGGCAGGGAAGUUAGGGAAAGUGUAAGAACUUGGAAAAUACAGGAAACUCAGCAACAGCCAGACCUGAUUUUGAAUCCUUUCUCUAGCAUUCAUCUCUACACGUAUGACCUUAACCAAGUCACCGCACCUUUCUUAGCCCCCAUUUCCCCAUCAUGGAAUGGGGACACAAGUACCUAUGUCAUUGGGCUUAGGGGAGAAAGUUCGGUAAAAUGUCUGACACAUGAUAGAUUUUGACAAACAUUAUUUCCUCUUCUUUUCUUGCUUUAAACAUAUAAUGAUGCUGUUACCUUAAAAGUUAGGUUAUGCCAUUAGAAGGCGCCUUUGUUCUUUGCUCUUGUUCUACCAAAAUGAGAAAAUGGCAAAAAUCGCAGGGUGGGUCUCAGUUCUCCAUUUUGUUAAUAUCCAAGUUGAUAUUUCCCUUUUGCGACAGUAACAACAACAUGCAAACCAAAAACUGAAACAGCUUCAGUUCUGUGCCCUCAGGAUCCAGCGUGGGACUCGUGAGAACCCUCCAGAGACAGCCACAUUUCGAAGCAAGUGGCACAGGCUUUGCAGAAGGCACACUGGGCCCCUCUCAAAACUCAAGCAGCAAAGAUGAUGAGAGAGCUGCAGACUUCGGGGCGUGGAGGAUGGGACUAAGCCGCAGAGUGCCUUGUCUAACAUGUUUUAGGAAGCACCCUUCUCUUUCCCGACUCACAUGGGGCAGCUAUAAUAAUUCAGCUUCACGUGGCUGAAUUAUUUUCUGUUUUCACUUGGUUCUUUUUUUCUUCUCCUUUAAGAAAAAAAAAGUCCAAAUAGGCUUUGGGCCACACUGGACUACCUAGUAAGGGGGAUAGAUGAUCUAGAUGAUUUGAGAGCUGGUUUUCUGAAAAGCCAGGGAGCUCUGGUCUUGAGAAGACUCAGUAGCCAGGAAGCUGAGGAACACACACACACACACACACACACACACACACACACACAAACACACCCCUUCCUGGCUCCAGUUCCGCACCACCCCACACCCCCAACACCGGAAGUAGAUUUCUCAAUAGGCAGGGCUGGGUAUGAGUCACAGGCAAUUCCGUUUUGUUUGGGACCAUGAGACCUCCCACUCCUGGGGCCAGAAGGAGUUGCUGAGAAGGAGCUGUGGUUCUGACCUUCAGGGGAAUUCCCACGUCUGUAUGGUGGCUCGUGAAGAGCAUGGUUCCUUUUCUCAGCCCUCUUGAGGGGCGAGGAUGCUGAGGACUGAAGUCGGUGGGGCUUGAUGCAUGUGGGCCUGCUCUCUGUCAUGUGAUGCUAUACUACAGCCAGGCUGGAAUUUGGUGUCUUAUUGCUACAAAGAAUCAGCUUUGUCAAUCCUAAGGUCACUGAGAGGCUGCCAGAGGGCCAUUUUCAUGACCAGAGGGAUCUGUUCAACACCCUGUGGGUCCCAGCACCUAUCUCAGGAAGCAGGGUGCAUCUGUCCACCACCAAGUCUCAGGGUGGCUGGGUGAGCGCUCAUCAGUCCCAGACAGCAGGUUGGCACAAAACGACACUGCCCACAAAACCACAGGAAGAAGAGAAACUCCGACUGUCUUUCAGCACACAGAAGACACUGUACUGGACCCGGACAUUAGGCAGACACCCACGCCUGACUUUCAGGAGAAAAGAGAACAUGACUAACGGAUAUUCUUAGUAGAUGGUUUAUUAGAAAAGAGAACAUCUUCCAGCAUGUGUCCUGGGGUGAUGGGUGUGGGAAGCACUCAGUCCAUAGUCCUGGUCCCUGGCUUCCCCAAGCCCAGCACCAUGAAUGUACAGUGGAAAGCAGAGGGUGCAGCGUCUCAGAAAGAUGCUUCCACUCACAAGGAUUGGAGCUCACAAGUGAGCUCCAUAACCUGCAAACCAGAGAAACCUGAGACACUGCCCCUUGGCCAUUUUAUCAACGGAGACUUUAUUGUGAUUAUCCCGGCAGGGGGCCGAGCUCUCCUCUCUGCAACAGGAAAUGCUCUUUAGUGAAAAUGCAGCAUUUCUCCAAGGGUAACAAAGCUGAACGCCUGCUUAGCUUAUGAACCCUCAGUUGGCCUAGGUGGUGCAAAGACCCUGCUGUUACUGCUUUGAUCAUCAGUACUGUGGACUGUACCAGGAGAUCCCUGGGAAUGUGCUCUGGGCGGAAGCAGCUUUUAUCUUUGGCCCUCACCCAUGCUUUAUAUGGUGAGGUUGGGAAAAUGGCACAAGGCUUCUCCUGAACCUCAAAUCAACACCCUUGCCCCAUUUAGAUCCUAUCUGGCUGUUUCUUGCUAAUAUUACUGCAUCACUGCACCAUCUUUCCUAUUUCAGCAAAGUGGAGUCAUGUGUGGUUUAUGGGGUAGAUGGACCCCAAAACUGAUAAUAUGAAUCAAGCUAUGGUGUUUACUCCCUAGGAAAUGCACAAUUUUUCUGGAAACCUACAGAAGCUUCAAAUGCAUUCGCCAUGCAAAGCUAAGUCAGCAGAACAACCCGUUUGGCUUUGGAGGCUAGUUCAGUUCCGCGGACAGGGAGAAAGAUGAGGCAGACUGUGGUUUUUCAGUUCCUGGAGCUUACGGAGCUCCAAAGCUCCCUCUCUUCCCACCCUGGCUGCACUGUUCUUAAUUUUAGAUAAUACCCUGCCUUCUCGUAUUGCUGCUGAGCUCCUAGCAUCCUCAGUUUAUCUGUCUGUGAAAUGAAAAAUCUAAUGUUAAAUUUUUUACCUAUGGCAUGAGAGAGAUGGCUAUGGCUCUUGUGAGCCUCUCUGCAGCCCCUCUUUUCCUUCAAUCACCCUCUGUCUCUCCUGCCUUCUGCUUAUUCUCUCUCUCCCCUCAUCCCCACUUUCCCAGUGGGUCCUCUGUUCUCUUUUUUUUUUUCUUUUUAAAUCUCUCUAUGCCUCCAGCCGAGAAGAUAAAGAGUGUACAUCUUUCUGGUUAAAAAGUUUUGCUUUGCAGAAACACAGCCAAUUUAUGAUUCUGGCCUUCCCAGCUAGGGACAGUGUUCAUUUACAUUUAGGACCAUGAGGAGAGAGGCUUAGCUGUGUGUUUCUGAGGCCGGAGAAAAUUACAGUGAUAUAUAACAGUGCUGCACUCAUAGAGGUGCUGAGCCGGGGUUGGGCUCAGGCGGCCGCUAAGCUCAGAGUGGAAAGUUUCAGAGGGGAGGCAGAAAGGAGAGGUCUAUAGCUCCUCCAGAUUCUAGGUAUUAAUUUACUAAGAUAUUCCUAAGCCAGAAAACAGAGACAGAAGACAAAGAGAAAGAGGGAAGAAGAGCAAGACAGAGAGUUAGAGAGAGACAAAGAGAGAGAGUUAGAGACAAAGAGAGAGUGGAGAGGAGAGAGAGCAAAUAUUGAAAGGAAAAGGAAAAAGAAAGAAACCUGACAGCUCAUGAACUUUUUAAAAAGUUACAAAUUAGAUUUGAAGAGAUGGGCAGAGGUUUAAGAUUUCUUCAUUAGGCUGGGUGUGGUGGCUCAUGCCUGUAAUUGCAGCACUCUGGGAGGCUGAGGGUGGCAGAUCAUCUGAGGUCAGGAGUUCGACACCAGACAGGCCAACAUGGUGAAACCCUGUCUCUACUAAAAAUACAAAAAUUAGCCAGGCAUGGUGGCACGCGUCUGUAAUCCCAGCUACUCUAGAGGCUGAAGCAGGAGAAUCGCUUGAACCCAGGAGGCGGAGGUUGCAGUGAGCCAAGACUGUGCCAUUGCACUCCAGCCUGGGUGACAGAGUGAGACUCUGUCUCCAAAAAUAAAAAAU